CCCCUUCCUCUUAUUUAUUAACCACAUCUGUAUUAACCACAUAAUCCUUUUCCGGUUCUAUUUUGCAAGUCUUUGGCAGACAUGUGUUACCACAGCUUACAGUUUAACCAGCCUGCACCGGUUUAGUUUCAUAGGCUGUACGCAGAUAGUAUUCUUUUUAACUACAGAGUGUGUCUUUCAUCUAGAGAUGACACCCUCUUUAACCACAAAGCAUGUCUAUUUGAAUAAUUAUAUCUCAAACCCUUUCCUUCAUUGCCUUAGGAACUUAUUGCCAGACCUAGUAUUGAAAACUCUUCUUAUUGCAAAGCCUUACUAUUGAUCCUAAAGCUCUAAGAUUAGAAAGUCUUACUAUUGUAAAGCCCCAUCCCCAGUUAUGCGAAAACAACACUGUUUCUCUCACAGAUGGGAGUAACUGGAAACACCACCACACUGGCCAGACCAACAGUGUCUUCUGCCUGGAGAACCUACAAACAGGAUCAACAGCAUCUAGGGAUGUAGCCGUCAACUGUGGCAUAAUCAGGCUCACCUGAAACA